rnacentral:rRNA from 1 species
GUUGUAAUCUGCAGAGGGAGUUUCGGGUAAAGUCUGGUUUAAGUUCCUUGGAACAGGACGUCAUAGAGGGUGAGAACCCCGUCAGUGACCAAUCACCAACCCAUGUGAAACCCCUUCGACGAGUCGAGUUGUUUGGGAAUGCAGCUCCAAAUGGGUGGUAAAUUUCAUCUAAAGCUAAAUAUUGGCCGGAGACCGAUAGCGCACAAGUAGAGUGAUCGAAAGAUGAAAAGCACUUUGGAAAGAGAGUUAAAUAGUACGUGAAAUUGUUGAAAGGGAAGCGCUUGUGACCAGACCUGUGCAUAGGUGAUCAGUUGGUAUUUUUACCAAUGUACUCAUCUAAAGCCAGGCCAGCAUCGGUUUUGGCGGCGGGACAAAAGCGUGGAGAAUGUAACUCUCUCUUGGGUGAGUACUUAUAGCUCGUCAUGAAAUGCCGCCAGCCGAAACCGAGGACCGCGCUUUGGCUAGGAUGCUGGCGUAAUGGUUGCAAGCGACCCGUCUUGAAACACGGACCAAGGAGUCUAACAUCUAUGCAAGUGUUUGGGUGUAAAACCCAGGCGCGGAAUGAAAGUGAAUGGAGGUGGGAACCCUUAAAGGGGGUGCACCAUCGACCGAUCCUGAUGUCUUCGGAUGGAUUUGAGUAUGAGCAUAGCUGUUGGGACCCGAAAGAUGGUGAACUAUGCCUGAACAGGGUGAAGCCAGAGGAAACUCUGGUGGAAGCUCGCAGCGGUUCU